AUACGUAGGGGGCGAGCGUUGUCCGGAAUGAUUGGGCGUAAAGGGCGCGUAGGCGGCUUUGCAAGUCAGUAGUGGAAGUCCAUUUUUCAAGGAUGGAAGUGCUACAGAAACUGCGGAGCUUGAGUGCAGGAGAGGUUAUCGGAAUUCCCGGUGUAGCGGUGAAAUGCGUAGAGAUCGGGAGGAACACCAGUGGCGAAGGCGGGUAACUGGACUGCAACUGACGCUGAGGCGCGAAAGUGUGGGGAGCAAACAGGAUUAGAUACCCUGGUAGUCCACACUGUAAACGAUGAAUGCUAGGUGUAGGAGGUAUCAACCCCUUCUGUGCCGCAGUAAACACAGUAAGCAUUCCGCCUGGGGAGUACGGUCGCAAGAUUAAAACUCAAAUGAAUUGACGGGG
rnacentral:rRNA from 1 species